AUGUGCAAAAUGUGUUGUAAAGUGAAUAUCAUCGGCACAUAGGUCAUGAGAUCAACAUUGACAGAUUUACAGGCAGCCUUGACGUGAGAACACGAUAAAUGUUUAGCCUGAUAUUCACCACAAUCACACUUUUGGAAU
rnacentral:pre_miRNA from 1 species